UACGUAGGCAGCGAGCGUUGUUCGGAAUUACUGGGCGUAAAGAGUGUGUAGGUGGUGCUCUAAGUUCGGUGUGAAAUCUCCCGGCUUAACUGGGAGGGUGCGCCGAAAACUGGAGUGCUCGAGCGUGGGAGAGGAAAGCGGAAUUCCUGGUGUAGCGGUGAAAUGCGUAGAUAUCAAGUGGAACACCAGUGGCGAAGGCGAGUCUCUGGACAUUUCCUGACGCUGAGGCACGAAAGCCAGGGGAGCAAACGGG
rnacentral:rRNA from 1 species